AGUGAACGCUGGCGGUAGGCCUAACACAUGCAAGUCGAACGGCAGCACAGUAAGAGCUUGCUCUUACGGGUGGCGAGUGGCGGACGGGUGAGGAAUACAUCGGAAUCUACUUUUUCGUGGGGGAUAACGUAGGGAAACUUACGCUAAUACCGCAUACGACCUACGGGGGAAAGCAGGGGAUCUUCGGACCUUGCGCGAUUGAAUGAGCCGAUGUCGGAUUAGCUAGUUGGCGGGGUAAAGGCCCACCAAGGGGACGAUCCGGAGCUGGUCUGGGAGGAUGAUCGGCCACAUUGGAACGGAACCAGGGUCCAGGCGCCUACGGGAGGCAGCAGUGGGGAAUAUUGGACAAUGGGCGGAAGCCUGGUCCAGCCAUCCCGCGUGGGUGGAGAAGGCCUUCGGGUUGUAAAGCCCUUUUGUUGGGAAAGAAAAGCAGCCGGUUAAUACCACGCUGUUCUGACGGUACCCAAAGAAUAAGCACCGGCUAACUUCGUG
rnacentral:rRNA from 1 species